CUACGGAGGAUCCGAGCGUUAUCCGGAUUUAUUGGGUUUAAAGGGUGCGCAGGCGGCCAUUUAAGUCAGCGGUUAAAUCUUGGGGCUCAACCCCAUUCUGCCGUUGAUACUGGGUGGCUUGAUUGCGGUCGAGGCUGGCGGAAUUCGUUGUGUAGCGGUGAAAUGCAUAGAUAUGACGAAGAACACCGAUUGCGUAGGCAGCUGACCAGACCGCAAAUGACGCUCAUGCACGAAAGUGCGGGGAUCGAACAGGAUUAGAUACCCUGGUAGGCCGCACAGUAAACGAUGAAUACUUGUUUUCGGCGAUAUAAUGUCGGAGGCAAAGCGAAAGCGAUAAGUAUUCCACCUGGGGAGUACGCCGGCAACGGUGAAACUCAAAUGAAUUGACGGGG
rnacentral:rRNA from 1 species